GUAAGCUGGAAAAGAAGAGAUGAGGGUGGGAUGGAUAAACUUUGCUUUGACUUGUGGGCACGAAGUUGGUUUAUUUAGCUAGAUGGAGGAGAUGUGGUGAAGCGUGGGGAAGUCAUAGGCUAACUUAAUGGAAUGCGGGACAAAGUUCCCACACGACUGAUGUCCUGCGAGCCUAGUAAACAUGAAUGUCUUCUUUAGCAUUUGGAUUUUUCCUGUUUCAGACGCAGGGAAACAAUGUUGUACGAGCAGUCCUUCCCAGCCGGGUGAUACUUCAGGCUAGGAGAGGAUAGCACCAAAUGCUUAUUACUUUAAACCUACCGAGGUCAUGAGGCUGAUAAAUAUGUGUAGGUACGGUUUAGUUUGGGGCUGCCGAGGAGCGUUCCCUUAGCUGUUCAGCUGAGCUGUUUGCCUUUGCAGAAAGCAUGGAGAGGCUUAGAUGUGGGGUCUAGGCUGAGCACUGUGAACAGGCUGGGAGCUGAGUUGUACCUUCUCAGUGCAACGCUGCAGCUUACAUCUGAGAAAAGGCAGUGAGACCUUCACUUCUGAGAAGAGACAAAGGAAUUAGACGGAGGAGCCUUUCCUCCUCCCUGGAGUUAUGCUUUCAUUCUGUAAGUCCCAGCCGGUGUCAUCGCUUAACAGCAUCUAUCUGAUAUUAAAAGGUGGCACAUGCCAGAGUCCUGCUCUCCCAGCCCUGAUCCGUCCACCAGCCCCUCCUUUGCAGCCAUCAUUGGAUAUUAAGCCUUUUCUUCCCUUUCCUCUUGACACUGCCGCGGCAGUCAACCUAUUUCCGAAUUUUAAUGCGGUGAGUGUCCGAUCCAACAUUUUUCCUGUCUGUGAUGAAUGAUAAUGCAUAAAGGAUUAGGGGAUGGGGUGGUUGAGUCAGUUACUCCUUCUGUCUUGAAGGAUUGUUUAUCCCACAUGUUUCUGUAUGUCAUCGUGAAGUUGGAUGUCCAUCUAGAAAAAUAAUGUUCAAGGGGCCAGGCUCCUGGUGUGGAGAGUGGUGAAAGAGAAUUCAUUGGUUGGUUACCAGUUGAUGUGAUAUGUGAGAAUCUUUUUUGUAAAGCAGACAGCACUGUAUUUCUUUGGGCGGAGGGAACUUGUGAAAUUGAAGUUGAACUAAUUUAUUAUGAAAUUCAAUGUGGCCUUAUUACAUGUGAGUCUUUCAACAUGCCUCAAAUCUAUAAUUCUUUCUUAUUGUAAUAAUUAGAACCAUGAAAGUAGUCAGAAUUGAAGAUGGUGCUCCCAAAUCAAUCGUUUUCCAUCUCUUUCUAACUUCUAUCCAA